rnacentral:antisense_RNA from 1 species
CAAGGGACCCCGAGUGCGCACCGUUUCCUUUCCAUAACGAGUGGACCCCCCCCUCCCGGGAGCACUCCUUUAGCCCUUCCUCCGUGGGAGACCCCCCAGGGCUGGCACGAGAGAUGCCAACGGACCCCCCCCCCCGACACACCUGCGUCGCCUCCGGCACGCGCUCUGCCCGGUACCUCCCCUCGGGCGCCUUCUCCCCCAAGCUGGCUGGGAGCUGGGACGGGGACGCGCAGGGUCCGGUCGCCAAUCUGGUUUUCUCCCAUUGCAGCGUGAUAGAGGGGUGUGGUGCCAUGAUACCGCUUUUAAAAAUCCUGUUGAAUGCAAGUCCUCUUUGUUGCUCAUUGAACAAUGAGGAUAUUUAGCUCCCCUCAGACCUACCCUCAGAGUUGGAUGAGCUAUCCUCGGAGUUGGAUGCCACCACCGGCAGCAGCAAAAGCGAAGGCAACUCAUGAUUCUGCCUCAGAAGCAAUCGAAUAAAACAUUUUGAAAAUGAA